ensembl:lncRNA
ACACACACACACGCACACACGCGAGAUGCCCUACAGACUCCACGUGCACUAAUAACGAGAUCAUCACGUGGUUUUUGUCACUAUUAGUGAGGAUUUGUUUGAUACGAUGUUUUUCACAUUGUAUCAGUCACUGUAACACUCGCUGUGCGUCUCGUCACGGUGCAGCAUUUCAAACACUGCACCGUUGACAGAGGGCAGAAACUACUGCACAUCCUCUCUGCGGCUCUCAUGACUGCUCCACAUACUGAGAUUUAAAGGAUUCAUUCCAGUGUAAGUUCACAAACAGGUGAUGCAGAUGAGCUGGUGGUUGGAAUUUGGCCAGAAAUACAAUGUAAUGAAACGAAUGGACCAUCAUUUCAACCAGUACUUUAAUGUCACAUUGAGUCACAUUGAACAGGUGAUUUUAGUUCAAUGAACCAAUGAUCUUUGGUUUUUGUGGAUCGUAUCCAAUCAAAUGAAAAACAGUGUUUUGCAAUUUGAUCAUUGGUUGUGAGUUUUGGCAUCACGUGGCAUCACGGUUCUGAAAUCAGAGGCAAAGUGACUGUGAAAGCUUUAGUGCGUGUUCUACUUUCUUUAUUCCCCCUGGUCCGAACAGAAGGACACUGAGCAGCAGAUCAGCGUGCAGGUGGACGGCGGCCUGACCACCUACAGCCAGACGGGCCUGGCAGCCGGUCAGGAUUACACCGCCACCGUCGCCGGGGAGAUCGGCGGGCAGAGGGGAGCCGAGAGCUCCGUGACCUUCACGACCCUCACGCCGGGUCCCACCAACCUCCGAGUCGUCAAGACGACCUCCACCUCCGCGGUGGUCCAAUGGGAGCGGUCGCAGGGUGAGAUCGACAGGUACCACGUGAUCGUCACGCCCAACGACGGAGCGGGGAGCAGUCAGGAGGUGACGGUCCCGGCUGGACAAGACUCCGCCCACAUCCGGCAGCUGGAGGCGGGGCGUUUGUACGACGUGGUAGUGGUGGCGGAGAAGGGGGCGAGUCGGAGCAAACCAGCGACCAGUCAGGUUACUCCAGGUGAGCUGGAACGUUGACGCCAGGGAAUGAUCUCAUGGUAGCUCACAAGUCGUCCAUUGUCGUCCUGUCUGCUGUUACCCAACAACCGCCAAGUCAAAUUCCUUGUAUGUCUGACAUAUUAUGCAAUUAAUUAUGCAAUAAAUGUUUCCUGAUUCCUGAAGAGGUCACAGUUUAUUGUGAAAUUAAAUUAACAGGGUUAUGAAAACCUUUCAGACAGUUGUCUCUGCGUUCAGUGUGGAUUAAUCCGCUGCAGAAAAUAGUCCCCAACAAAUGCAGCGCUUCCAUUGUUCUGUUGAAAAAAACACAGCGGUUCUGUAGUACAAAAUAUGUAUUUGUGUUUUUCAAGAUUUACGUCUUCAGUUGAAACCAAUGGACCCGGAGCUGAGACGAACUAACGUGUUGUGGACAAAGUAGAAUAACAACAGACUUGUCCUUUAAGUUUUUAGUUUGGUGCAACACUCACACUACUUUGCACAUAAUCAGCAACUCAAACUUGUUCCUCCUGAUUUCAUCUACAUGAGACUACAUUCAGCAUCCAGACACCAAAUUAUUCCAACGAACAAACAAAAAAAACAUACUCCAACAUUUCUCAAGGAGUUUGCCUCAACCGUCCAUGAGCAAAUAAUAAUUGUAAUAUUCCUCUAAGUGCUCUGUUUCCUCUGUCCGUGUUUAACGUUGUUCAUAUAUACAUUUCCUCCUUGCAGGUUCGACUGCGCUGAGUUGUUUGUUUUUCACUAUUAAUCAAUUUCCCUUAAAGGUAUCGUAAAGAACAUUAAAACUGCUUUUCUCCCUUUAUUAGAUGUGAGCUCCUCUGGAUUAUUAGCAGCAGUAGCAUAGGAC